rnacentral:rRNA from 1 species
AUUGAACGCUGGCGGCAGGCUUAACACAUGCAAGUCGAGCGGGGUGAUGGUGCUUGCACUAUCACUUAGCGGCGGACGGGUGAGUAAUGCUUAGGAAUCUGCCUAUUGGUGGGGGACAACAUCUCGAAAGGGAUGCUAAUACCGCAUACGUCCUACGGGAGAAAGCAGGGGAUCACUUGUGACCUUGCGCUAAUAGAUGAGCCUAAGGCGGAUUAGCUAGUUGGUGGGGUAAAGGCCUACCAAGGCGACGAUCUGUAGCGGGUAUGAGAGGAUGAUCCGCCACACUGGGACUGGGACACUGCCCAGACUCCUACGGGAGGCAGCCGUGGGGAAUAUUGGACAAUGGGGGGAACCCUGAUCCAGCCAUGCCGCGUGUGUGAAGAAGGCCUUAUGGUUGUAAAGCACUUUAGGCGAGGAGGAGGCUCUUUUGGUUAAUACCCAAGAUGAGUGGACGUUACUCGCAGAAUAAGCACCGGCUAACUCUGUGCCAGCCGCCGCUGUAA